rnacentral:lncRNA from 1 species
GCCGAUCCCCUCGAAGCGAUCAAGGAGGCCGAUCCCCUCGAAACGAUCAUUAUCAUCCCCAUUUCUUCCUUUUCUUCGACGAUAAGACUUUAGGGUCUUAUCAUUUGGUAUCAGAGUGACGAUAAGACCUUUAGGGGAUAUCAUUUGGUAUCAGAGCCUACGAUAAGACUUUAGGGUCUUAUCAUUUGGUAUCAGAGCCUACGAUAAGACCUUUAGGGUCUUAUCAUUUGGUAUCAGAGCGGCGAUCCUUGCCGCGUUCCCGCUGCAACGUAACUAAAAAAAAAAAAUAAAGAGAAAGGAAGAGAGAAGAAGAAGAAGCCGCAGCCACGCAUCCCUGCUUCUGCGGCCAGCCCACCGUCGCCCCUGCUCUCCGGCACGCUACGCC